UUAAGCGACUAAGCGUACACGGUGGAUGCCCUGGCAGUCAGAGGCGAUGAAGGACGUGCUAAUCUGCGAUAAGCGUCGGUGAGGUGAUAUGAACCGUUAUAACCGGCGAUUUCCGAAUGGGGAAACCCAGUGUGUUUCGACACACUAUCAUUAACUGAAUCCAUAGGUUAAUGAGGCGAACCGGGGGAACUGAAACAUCUAAGUACCCCGAGGAAAAGAAAUCAACCGAGAUUCCCCCAGUAGCGGCGAGCGAACGGGGAGGAGCCCAGAGCCUGAAUCAGUGUGUGUGUUAGUGGAAGCGUCUGGAAAGGCGCGCGAUACAGGGUGACAGCCCCGUACACAAAAAUGCACAUACUGUGAGCUCGAUGAGUAGGGCGGGACACGUGGUAUCCUGUCUGAAUAUGGGGGGACCAUCCUCCAAGGCUAAAUACUCCUGACUGACCGAUAGUGAACCAGUACCGUGAGGGAAAGGCGAAAAGAACCCCGGCGAGGGGAGUGAAAAAGAACCUGAAACCGUGUACGUACAAGCAGUGGGAGCCUCUUAAUGGGGUGACUGCGUACCUUUUGUAUAAUGGGUCAGCGACUUAUAUUCUGUAGCAAGGUUAACCGAAUAGGGGAGCCGAAGGGAAACCGAGUCUUAACUGGGCGUUAAGUUGCAGGGUAUAGACCCGAAACCCGGUGAUCUAGCCAUGGGCAGGUUGAAGGUUGGGUAACACUAACUGGAGGACCGAACCGACUAAUGUUGAAAAAUUAGCGGAUGACUUGUGGCUGGGGGUGAAAGGCCAAUCAAACCGGGAGAUAGCUGGUUCUCCCCGAAAGCUAUUUAGGUAGCGCCUCGUGAAUUCAUCUCCGGGGGUAGAGCACUGUUUCGGCAAGGGGGUCAUCCCGACUUACCAACCCGAUGCAAACUGCGAAUACCGGAGAAUGUUAUCACGGGAGACACACGGCGGGUGCUAACGUCCGUCGUGAAGAGGGAAACAACCCAGACCGCCAGCUAAGGUCCCAAAGUCAUGGUUAAGUGGGAAACGAUGUGGGAAGGCCCAGACAGCCAGGAUGUUGGCUUAGAAGCAGCCAUCAUUUAAAGAAAGCGUAAUAGCUCACUGGUCGAGUCGGCCUGCGCGGAAGAUGUAACGGGGCUAAACCAUGCACCGAAGCUGCGGCAGCGACACUAUGUGUUGUUGGGUAGGGGAGCGUUCUGUAAGCCUGCGAAGGUGUGCUGUGAGGCAUGCUGGAGGUAUCAGAAGUGCGAAUGCUGACAUAAGUAACGAUAAAGCGGGUGAAAAGCCCGCUCGCCGGAAGACCAAGGGUUCCUGUCCAACGUUAAUCGGGGCAGGGUGAGUCGACCCCUAAGGCGAGGCCGAAAGGCGUAGUCGAUGGGAAACAGGUUAAUAUUCCUGUACUUGGUGUUACUGCGAAGGGGGGACGGAGAAGGCUAUGUUGGCCGGGCGACGGUUGUCCCGGUUUAAGCGUGUAGGCUGGUUUUCCAGGCAAAUCCGGAAAACCAAGGCUGAGGCGUGAUGACGAGGCACUACGGUGCUGAAGCGACAAAUGCCCUGCUUCCAGGAAAAGCCUCUAAGCAUCAGGUAACAUCAAAUCGUACCCCAAACCGACACAGGUGGUCAGGUAGAGAAUACCAAGGCGCUUGAGAGAACUCGGGUGAAGGAACUAGGCAAAAUGGUGCCGUAACUUCGGGAGAAGGCACGCUGAUAUGUAGGUGAAGCGACUUGCUCGUGGAGCUGAAAUCAGUCGAAGAUACCAGCUGGCUGCAACUGUUUAUUAAAAACACAGCACUGUGCAAACACGAAAGUGGACGUAUACGGUGUGACGCCUGCCCGGUGCCGGAAGGUUAAUUGAUGGGGUUAGCGGUAACGCGAAGCUCUUGAUCGAAGCCCCGGUAAACGGCGGCCGUAACUAUAACGGUCCUAAGGUAGCGAAAUUCCUUGUCGGGUAAGUUCCGACCUGCACGAAUGGCGUAAUGAUGGCCAGGCUGUCUCCACCCGAGACUCAGUGAAAUUGAACUCGCUGUGAAGAUGCAGUGUACCCGCGGCAAGACGGAAAGACCCCGUGAACCUUUACUAUAGCUUGACACUGAACAUUGAGCCUUGAUGUGUAGGAUAGGUGGGAGGCUUUGAAGUGUGGACGCCAGUCUGCAUGGAGCCGGCCUUGAAAUACCACCCUUUAAUGUUUGAUGUUCUAACGUUGGCCCGUAAUCCGGGUUGCGGACAGUGUCUGGUGGGUAGUUUGACUGGGGCGGUCUCCUCCUAAAGAGUAACGGAGGAGCACGAAGGUUGGCUAAUCCUGGUCGGACAUCAGGAGGUUAGUGCAAUGGCAUAAGCCAGCUUGACUGCGAGCGUGACGGCGCGAGCAGGUGCGAAAGCAGGUCAUAGUGAUCCGGUGGUUCUGAAUGGAAGGGCCAUCGCUCAACGGAUAAAAGGUACUCCGGGGAUAACAGGCUGAUACCGCCCAAGAGUUCAUAUCGACGGCGGUGUUUGGCACCUCGAUGUCGGCUCAUCACAUCCUGGGGCUGAAGUAGGUCCCAAGGGUAUGGCUGUUCGCCAUUUAAAGUGGUACGCGAGCUGGGUUUAGAACGUCGUGAGACAGUUCGGUCCCUAUCUGCCGUGGGCGCUGGAGAACUGAGGGGGGCUGCUCCUAGUACGAGAGGACCGGAGUGGACGCAUCACUGGUGUUCGGGUUGUCAUGCCAAUGGCACUGCCCGGUAGCUAAAUGCGGAAGAGAUAAGUGCUGAAAGCAUCUAAGCACGAAACUUGCCCCGAGAUGAGUUCUCCCUGAGACUUAGAGUCUCCUGAAGGAACGUUGAAGACGACGACGUUGAUAGGCCGGGUGUGUAAGCGCAGCGAUGCGUUGAGCUAACCGGUACUAAUGAACCGUGAGGCUUAACCUU
rnacentral:rRNA from 3 species